GUCACCUUCUAAUGCUGACAAAGAAGUUCAGGCCUCUAAGGAUGUAGACUUUAAGUGUGAGAGAUGAGAGUUACUUCUGGAUCUAACUCAACACCAACACUCAGGAGUCCACCAGGUUAGUAUGGAGGAUGCAUCUGACCAGAAUGGGAGAAUAGUAAGUUCUUCAGGUACACUGAAAGAGCUCUCACUCUGUGUAGGUACACAGAGAACAAAAUAGUCUUGUCUACCUGGACAUCUGGUCUAAAUGAGGAAAACAGCACUCAUGGACUUCUCCGUUUGGGAAAGGGGUUGGAGUAGGAGCAGUAUAUAUAUAUAUAUAUCCUGUCCACUUGAAAGUCAUGCAGUUUUUUUUGAGGGAACCUCAGAAUCUUGAAUCACUGUGAAACAUGUCUGCCAGUACCAGAAUCCUUCCUGAGUGGAGAAUUUUACCAGGAUGGAGGAAACCCUGAGCAUUCAUAUAUAUUGAACUCUUGAAGGGCACCCAGUUUGACAGGGAACCUCUAAGGCCUGAAUCACUGUGAAACAUGCUGUCUACAAGAACUAGAACCCUUCCUGAGAAGAUUAUACACUUCCAAAUCAUCAGAGGCCAAAAGUAAUGAUGAAUAAGGUGACAGGUAUUCUGGUGACCUGUCACCCCAUCAAGAGCCCUAUAACCAAUGUAACAUUCAGCAAUGCAGUUCACUCCAGGGCAGCUGUUACUGUUCCAGAAUCCCUGCAGACAGGAAAGCUAAAGAGGCUUCCUCCUCCCUGUUGACUUUGUCUUCUCAGGGAGCUUAAGCAGUUUAGUCCCUACAGAUUUCUCAACCUGCCUGGAAUGCUCUGCUAAUUCUGUGUUCCAGUACUCUUCAACGGUGAGUCAAGAGAAUACCACAGAUGUUUGCAACUCUGAUCCAGUCUAAGAUUCCAGUGCUCACAAGCAAAGAGUGGAAAAAGAUUUCUGUGGCUUCUCCAUUAAUGUUGUCCCAAAUAAAGCUCUGGAGGACUUCAGUGUGGGAGCAUGUACAGUACCUUGACUAGAGUCUGGUGUCUAGGGAAUGAAGUGUGUCCUCAUUAAGACAAGAGGAUACAAGAGGACUGCCAGAUUACAUACAGAACACAUGGUGUCCUGAUAUGGAGCCCAAAGGCUACUGAGAAAUCUAAUGCCUAUAUGAGUGAACCUGAACAUGAACAGUGUAGAUGAAUGUGGUCCCCUUCAGUUCAAGCUGCAAUGUCGUCAUCAUCUCCUGUUCAAGCCUAUGUCCCAGUAAAACUUUGACAAGGCUAUUCUGCCCUUCAAGCUCAUAUGAUGAUUGUCCAUAUGGGAGACCUGGCCUUGCAAGUUGCUUCUGUCACUGAGGAGACAGAAAGCAGAGGAGGAAUUUAACAGUGGAGGCUGUAUGCAAAAGUGAUGUGGAGCCCAGCUGUACCUGGAAGCUACAUGGUGCAACCCCUGAGCCACUCUUCAGACCUUCAUUCUACUCUGGUGUCUUCUAGUGACAGCCCUGCUAGCCAAUGACAACAACUUCUUCCUGACUCUUCCCCAACCUUGCUUCCCAGUGUUGAGACUUGAAGAGCACAGAGGAGGGCCUCUGUAGAUCAGUCAGUGGGUUUGGACCAUCAACUGCUACCACUGUUUUUAUUUGGGAUUAUGUUCUAAUUGUGGGAUGUCUGACAGAGCUAGGCUCCCAGUUUUUGCUAUGGAACCUGUUCUUCACUUCUUGGACUGUGCCUGCUCUAGUCCUCUUUUACCAUCAUGAAAGCCAUUAUUCCCUUCACAGUCCUGACAUUAUUCUUACAUACAAGGAGUAAGUAUGUAGAUUCACUCUGAGAUGUGACCACAGCUUCUAAACUGUCUAUGUGAAGUAGUUUGAUCUGCUCUUUUGUCAGUUGCUAUUCAGUAAGCAUUGUGAUGUGCAAGGCUCUCAGUAGGUGCCAGAUGCCAGGAUUAUUAGUGUGAUGAACAAGCUGUGCCCAAGGAGCUGAUGCAGUUUCCAGAGUACAGGACAUCCAGGAAGACAGAGGUGGUGAGGUAAGUCCACAUGGAAAUGGGUAAAAACAGUAAUAAAACUGUUAGUUCCCAUCCUCAUAAAGAUUGUUGGGAAACACUGUGUCUGAGAAAACAGCUCUGUAGAACUGAACCUGGAGAGAAAGAAGGCAUGAGACAGAGGGCCAUGUGACAGGCAGUCACCAUAAAUGACUGGGUCUGUUAAGUAUCUGUGAUACUGUGAUAGCUAUUUAUGGACACCCUAAAGAAAAUGUAUUGUAAUUUAUCACUUGGUGAAAUGGUGUUCUCCACGCAGAGCACAGGCCCUGGGAGUGUUGGGUAUUGCUACAUGUCAAAGGCCUGAAGUGUCCACUGCUCUUGUGCUGGUGGUGGGAUUGUCAGAAGAUGAGGAGGCCAUCCUGACAGAGGGACAAACAAACAACAGCCCAUGUUGCUGCACGUGGCUAACCAUCGUUGAUUUUGCAUGUCAGUUUCUAAGCCGAUAUAACCAGCUAUUAUUCUGAUAUACAAUAAAGCAGUCGAGGAUCAUGAGGCUUUCCUGACUGAAGCAACACAGGCUGGAGCCAAACUCCCAAGGCUGUGACCAAAGUCCUUCCCUGUUUUUUUACUGCUGAGGACAGUCUGAACUGAAAGUCUGGACCUGAUCUCUCCAUGAAGGCAAAACCUCUUGAACUCUCAUUUUGAAGUGCAGUUGUAGCUAAUGCUGCUUCUGAUUCAAAAAUCUAGUUCAAUAUGUGAAAAUAUACACUUUUCAACCUCCAACCUGGAACAUUCUGUCUCAGAGAGGACCUUGUUUAUACUUCAAAGGAAAGACAAGAUCCUGGUGCUUUCCCACAAGAAGUUGCUCAAUAUGGCUACCAGGCAGGCCAAACAUAAGCCUCUGUCUGCAGACAGGAGGGCACCAACAAUGUGUCAAGCAACCUCAUCUGGAUCAUCACAAGCAUCUGUAGUGUGGAUAUCUGGUCAACAUGGUAUGGCCCCUCCCUUCCCUGGUUGCCACCAACAAGUGUGAUAUAGGUCAUCCAUUUCAGUGCCAAGAUCUAGAAUUCCGCUGUAGGUUAGGGCUGGGAAAAGGGCCAGGUAUAGAGGGGAUAGUGUUUUGUGUAAUUGGUUCUUCCACAAAUGUAGGAAAUCUAUGUAUCCAACUGUUACAGAGUACCUUCUUCUCUUGCUCUUCAUCCAUACUUCAGAAAGAAUGGUGCUCCCUAAUUUUCUGUCAGUGAAAUGGUGGCACACAGAAAGCAAUGACUUUUUAUUAUGGGAAUGCCAAUUGAUAUGAUUGGUACUUCCUAGAAUGUCAUUAGUGGAGAGAUGUUCAGAGUUCUGACAACUCCUCUUUCCUGUCAUCUGACACAAGACAUGCACUGACAGAGAGAGUCUCUGACCCUUGAGAGAACUCCCUGAAGGCAGUUCUUAGAUUAUGACUGGAGAUCAGACAUUCAGAGGGAGUGAAGUCAUGCCCACCUGGUCCCACCGAGCAGGAGUUAGGAGCUAGUUUGAUCACUUUGACUAAGGGAACCACCAGAUAUUUUCCACUGUUUUCUGAGGGUUGUUUAAGAGUCUGUGUGAUUAUCUGAAACACAACAUUUUUAGUUUCAUUUUUGUCACAGUGACUUGACACUUCUAGGUUAUAUUGCCUUACCACUGUGAAGCCAAGGCACACAUGCAAAGGGGCUACCCAUGUCAUAUCCACACUCAAGAGUGUAGAGAAAUAAAUGCAUCCAUGCAGGCUUGCUUACUUGUGCUCAUUUAAAGCCUUCUGCUCUUAUGAACUCUUUUACCUAAGGCUAGGGAGUGGCACUGCCCAAAUCCGUGUUUCUUCCCAUGUCAUUUAAGAUCAUGAAAUUGAUCCUUUAUAGACUUGCUCACAGGGGAACUUCAUCUAGAGGAUUCCUCUGUGAAGACUCUUCUUCCAGGUCACUUCUGCACUAUGUGAGAGUUAAAAUUAUAGAGCAUGAAUUGCUCCCAGUGGCCACCUCAGAUCCCAACAUUGAAAACUGUCAGACACAUGACUAGAGACUUCAGCUUCUCAUUCUACUUAGGCUCAAAGCUGACAUCUUGUAGGGUAUCCUUUCUGGCCCUCUCGGUUUCUUCCCACAUUAUACCUGACACUGUUACCACUCAGCUCUCAGCUCAUCACUGGGGUUUUUCCACUGUGUCAUUGACUAAUACAUUCUAGACAUAGAUAAAAACAUGUUUGCCUUCAGAUUGAUCUUUUUUUCUAUUUCCUCUGCCAGGUUUUUUUUCCAGGUGUGGAGCCUCUCCCUCCAAUAAAUGUUAGCAACUGGUCAGACUUUCAUGCCAGUUACUUCAGCUAGAC
ensembl:lncRNA